UUAUUGUCAGGAUGUCUUGUCUAAGAUACAGUUACUCUGAUCCCUUCCUUCAUUAUUUACAAAUUGAGUAGACUUUUUAAAAAGAAAAAAACUGUCCCUGUGUUCUGCCUUUAGAAAACUACUGCACUCAAAUAUCACACUUAUGGACAACUUUUCAGAAUAUCAAAUUGAGAGAAAUUGAUGUGUGAAUCAAAUGACGGCUUAUGAUUUUUCUGUUGGCAUUGCACCAAGUAACCUGUGCCUACCUAGUUCCCACAAUAAAGAAUUAGCAAUGGAUAUCACCAAAAAGUCUUUUACCACAGAUUCCACAACCAACUUACAUUCUACUAAAAUACCUUAUUCAUGUGUAACUAAAGAUUAAAAAGUUCUUUUAUGAAUUACUUGGACACUUAACAGUUUAUCUGUUUGCAUAACCCCUCAUGUUCUAUGGGAUCCUACUUCCAGUAACUCAUUAUUUGGGAGUGACCUCUCUAAAAAGAUUUUUGUUGUAGAAAAUCGAACUGAAAACUGUCUCAAGAUAUUUGGGGAUGAUGACAAUAUAUUUUAUAAAGUUACUCAAAAAAAGGUCUGAUGACAUAAAGAUGCCUUCAGGUUCACUAAAAACUGUUCAUAAAUCUUGUGCUAUGAAAGAAGCCAUAGGUAACCACAGUGAGAAAACUUUCUCUAAUGAUAAUGCUGAAGAAUUAAAGAUUACAUCUGCUGCCCCUCAGAAGAAAGGUCCUACAGACAGAUAAAGACAAUGAGUCACAGAUGACUGAAAAUCCUAACUCUA
rnacentral:lncRNA from 1 species